rnacentral:rRNA from 1 species
GAUGAACGCUGGCGGCGUGCUUAACACAUGCAAGUCGAACGAUGAAGCCCAGCUUGCUGGGUGGAUUAGUGGCGAACGGGUGAGUAACACGUGAGUAACCUGCCCUUGACUCUGGGAUAAGCCUGGGAAACUGGGUCUAAUACUGGAUAUGACUUCUCAUCGCAUGGUGGGGGGUGGAAAGAUUUAUUGGUCUUGGAUGGACUCGCGGCCUAUCAGCUUGUUGGUGAGGUAAUGGCUCACCAAGGCGACGACGGGUAGCCGGCCUGAGAGGGUGACCGGCCACACUGGGACUGAGACACGGCCCAGACUCCUACGGGAGGCAGCAGUGGGGAAUAUUGCACAACGGGCGCAAGCCUGAUGCAGCGACGCCGCGUGAGGGAUGACGGCCUUCGGGUUGUAAACCUCUUUCAGUAGGGAAGAAGCGAGAGUGACGGUACCUGCAGAAGAAGCGCCGGCUAACUACGUG